GAUGAACGCUGGCGGCAGGCCUAACACAUGCAAGUCGAGCGGAGCGGCGGACGGGUGAGUAAUGCCUAGGAAUCUGCCUGGUAGUGGGGGAUAACGUCCGGAAACGGGCGCUAAUACCGCAUACUAUCAGAUGAGCCUAGGUCGGAUUAGCUAGUUGGUGGGGUAACGGCCUACCAAGGCGACGAUCCGUAACUGGUCUGAGAGGCUGAUCAGUCACACUGGAACUGAGACACGGUCCAGACUCCUACGGGAGGCAGCAGUGGGGAAGAUUUGACAAUGGGCGAAAGCCUGAUCCAGCCAUGCCGCGUGUGUGAAGAAGGUCUUCGGAUUGUAAAGCACUUUCAGCGGGGAGGCGUUACCCGCAGAAGAAGCACCGGCUAACUCCGUGCCAGCAGCCGCGGUAAUUC
rnacentral:rRNA from 1 species